UCUCCGUAGGUGAACCUGCGGAGGGAUCAUUACAGAGUUCAUGCCCUACCGGGUAGAUCUCCCACCCUAUGUUAUUAUACUUUGUUGCUUUGGCGGGCCGUUAGGCUUCGGCCCGACUACCGGCCCCGGCUGGUAAGCGCCCGCCAGAGGACCCAAAACCCUGAAUAUUAGUGUCGUCUGAGUACUAUAUAAUAGUUAAAACUUUCAACAACGGAUCUCUUGGUUCUG
rnacentral:misc_RNA from 1 species